GAUGAACGCUGGCGGCGUGCCUUAAGCAUGCAAGUCGAACGACGUGAUCGCAAGAUUUACGAGUGGCGGACGGGUGAGUAACACGUGGGAAUCUACCCUAAAGUGCAGGAUAACUAGCCGAAAGGUUAGCUAAUACUGCAUGUGAACGAAAGUUUAAAGCUCUUAACUGGGCGCUUUAGGAGGAGCCUGCGAUCUAUCAGCUAGUUGGUGAGGUAAAGGCUCACCAAGGCGACGACGGAUAGCUGGUCUGAGAGGACGGACAGCCACAAUGGCACUGAGACACGGGCCAUACUCCUACGGGAGGCAGCAGUGGGGAAUAUUGGACAAUGGGGGGAACCCUGAUCCAGCCAUGCCGCGUGUGUGAAGAAGGCCUUAUGGUUGUAAAGCACUUUAAGCGAGGAGGAGGCUCUUUUGGUUAAUACCCAAGAUGAGUGGACGUUACUCGCAGAAUAAGCACCGGCUAACUCUGUGCCAGCAGCCGCCGUAA
rnacentral:rRNA from 1 species